rnacentral:misc_RNA from 1 species
GAUGAAGAACGCAGCGAAAUGCGAUACUUGGUGUGAAUUGCAGAAUCCCGUGAACCAUCGAGUCUUUGAACGCAAGUUGCGCCCGAAGCCAUUAGGCCGAGGGCACGCCUGCCUGGGCGUCACACGUCGUUGCCCCCCCAUCUACUCCUUCGGGAUUGCGGGGGGCGGAUGAUGGCCUCCCGUGCGCCUCGUCGCGCGGUUGGCAUAAAUGCCAAGUCCUCGGCGACGCACGCCACGACAAUCGGUGGUUGCGAAACCUCGGUUGCCCGUCGUGUUCGGUCGUCGCGCAUCGAGGGCUCGAAAAAAUUGCCGGGCUCCGGCUCGACUUUCAACGCGACCCCAGGUCAGGCGGGGUUACCCGCUGAAUUUAAGCAUAUCAAUAAGCGGAGGA